rnacentral:lncRNA from 10 species
GACAAGGGGUUCUUGGAGGCUUGACCUCUGGGCCUCCAUCAUGGAAAGGGAAGGAGACCAGCUGCCUCUGCCUGCUGUGGAGAGCCAGGGCAGUGAUCCCACGAGGCUGCAAUGUGGACAGCUGUUCACUUAGUGUCCGUUCCUUCCUCUUUGGUCCAGGUGAACGUGUUGCAUAUGACCUCACAAUAGUCUGUGGAAAUUGCUCAUCACUGGAACAGCCCUGGAUCUAGAGCUCAGUUAUCACCAGGUGUCCUGGACUGUGUCACACUAUGGGAGCACCAAGGCAUCUAGGGGCAGUGGCCUCUGGCAUCUCUGACUGUCAUCCUCUACCCUGGCUGUGCCCAGUGCCUGGCCCACAAGAGACCCUGGAUCAAUAGGGUGGCUCUCUGGAGAGCUUGUUCAGAGCCCCCGCUGUUAGCUAGCCACCCAGUAAUUUUUCCAUUUUGACACCAGGAUGAGUGGCCAUGGAGUAGAUCAAUGAGAAUAUGUGUAGGUUCUGGGGGCCCCAUUCCUGAGUCUGGGAGGAGGACACCCAGUGAAGAGAGUGAUCAGGGAAGGUGUCUGAGCUAGUGUCACCCAGGGCUUCUAGGAACACGUGUGGAUUGGUUAUCCACUGGCUUCCUAAACUCACCCCGGGCAGGCACACUGACUCCCCAGCCUGUCUCCCCCACCACUGUCUCCCCUCAGCCACUAAAGACUGAGCACUGUCCCUGCCACCUGUUCGGAUUGGUUUAUCCACUACUACCAGCUGCCAUUCCCACUUCCAGCUCUAUCCUUUCCUCUCUGCUCCCAGAAGGAUCUUCCUCUCAUAGAUGCAGGCAGGGCAUGAAAGACACAAGAUCAAGUCUACGCUGUUUGCAUUCAGGCAACGGCCUUCCUGAAGCCCCCAGGUCCUGAUCAGCCUUUCCAGUCCCAUCUCCAGCAGGCUCCCCACACAGACACAGCACAUUGCUUGCUGAGAUCUGCACAGGCCACACACUGAAAUAUUUCCUGUGCCUGGAAGUCCCUCUCUCACUUCCACCAACCAUCACAGCCCCAUGCAUUAAAGCCCAGCCCAAACGUCACCUUCCAUGGGAAGCCUUCUCUCCACAUUCCUCUUCUACCCUGAGAAUGUGAAUUGCACUGAAAUUGUCUGAUUGUAUUUCAUUAUGGGUCACAAUGAAUCUGAUUGUCACACUUUUUUAUCCAACAGUCCUGGCACAUAGUAGGUGCUUAAUCAAUGUGCAUAUUCUUUUUAAAUUUUUUAAAUGAACACUCCUGCUGUUCUACGUGUAUGUUAUUUUUUUAAAAAAUGAAAUAAAUGAAGGAAUGAAUUCUUUCUACUUGAACUCAAAGUACUGCACACUCUGCCAAUGGCUAGUUUUUCAGCCUGAUCUUCUAACCCCACGGCUUCUAGCUCUCUAAACAGAUCAGACUAUUAAUUUGAAACAUGUUCUCCAACCUCUUUGGGCUUCAAGGGUCCCCUGUCUCAACUGCCUUUCCCCCAUAUCUGUCAAUCAUCAUCUUCCCUUUCAGGUCCACCUGCUUCAACACCAUACAAAAUACUAAGAGUCUAUCAUGCAGCAAAAAAUUUUAUAAGCAUUUCAUUUGACCCCUAAUAAUGGCUCUGAACAUUAAACAUUGUUAUUCCUGUUUUACAAAAGAUUAAACUGAAACUCAGAGAAGUCAAGCCACUUGUUCAGGAUCUCCCAGUGAGUCAGAAUGUCUCCUUCUGCAUGGACAAGCUGCUCUCAGGCCUCUCCAGCUCAGAAUGAAUCUCUUCU